CCCUUAGAUGUUCUGGGCCGCACGCGCGCUACACUGACGAAUGCAACGAGCUUAUAACCUUGGCCGAAAGGUCUGGGUAAUCUCCAAAUUUCGUCGUGAUGGGGAUAGAUUAUUGCAAUUAUUAAUCUUCAACGAGGAAUGCCUAGUAAGCGCAAGUCAUCAGCUUGCGUUGAUUACGUCCCUGCCCUUUGUACACACCGCCCGUCGCUCCUACCGAUUGAAUGGUCCGGUGAAGCGUUCGGACCGUGGCCUUUGGACGGUUCGCCGUCUGUUGGCUGCGGGAAGUUCGUUAAACCUUAUCAUUUAGAGGAGGGAGAANUCGUAACA
rnacentral:rRNA from 1 species